rnacentral:rRNA from 1 species
UACGUAGGGUGCGAGCGUUGCCCGGAUUUAUUGGGCGUAAAGGGCGCGUAGGCGGCCACGCACGUCCGUUGUGAAACUGCCCGGCUCAACUGGGCGGGGUCAGCGGAUACGGUGUGGCUCGAGCAAGCUAGGGGGCAAUGGAAUUCCCGGUGUAGUGGUGGAAUGCGUAGAUAUCGGGAGGAACACCAGUGGCGAAGGCGGUUGCCUGGAGCUUUGCUGACGCUGAGGCGCGAAAGCGUGGGGAGCGAUCCGG